rnacentral:lncRNA from 1 species
CUGACUUGAGAAGGAACUAGAGUCCCAGACACAAGCUUGACAUUCACCUUCCAGCACCAUGACUGAGGCUGCCGGAAUAGUGGCAGAAGCAAGUGAGAAGUAAGUGAGAAGGUGCAGAGGAUGGAUGUGAAGCAAAACCAUUUAUCUGGCCAUGGUAGAUUUGCCACGGCAGGGAGCCUGGCAGGAGAGGGGUCUUCAGUCAUCAGUUUCUCACUAAUUCUUGGAACCAGAGCCUCCCUGGCAUAAUGGCAAGGAAGACAAGAUUGAUUUUAUGCCCAAAAAUGUCAGAGCUGGAAGGGAACUUCCAAUGUUCUAGUCCAGUCAUUCUCAAGCUUUUUUUUUUUUUUUUGGUACCAGGGAUUGAACUCAGAACCUUGCACUUGUGAGGCAGGCAUGGUGCCACUGAGCUAAAUCCCUGGCUUUCUCAAGCAUUUUUAAAGUUAUAGAACACAUCUUUAAAGCAAUCUCACCCCUGGAAAUCAAGUGAGGAAACUGGGGCCUGAAAAUGAGAGAGACCUGUCCCUAACCUUAUGCCUACCUAGGGGCAAAGUCAGUUCCCAGAGUCAGUACCCAUGCCCCAGGGCAAUGCCCUCUGCCAAAGCACAGUUUCUGGACUCUGCACAGCUCCACACCCUCCUUUAAGAUUCCUUCUCCAUCCUUAUGCAGGUAAAACAGAAGGAGCCAUUGUACUCAGAGUCCCAGGGGACAGUGGGAUGUAGACUGCAUUGAGCUUCUGUAUCCUCUGAGCCUCCUUCAACAGAGCAGAGAAGAGUGGUCCCUCUUACAUGGCCCCAGGCACUAUGCAGUGGAGGAACCAUGUCAGUUCUGCUUUGGUAGAACAUGGUAGAAUUACUGGGGGUGCCCAAGGAGACAUGAGGUAGUCUGAGGAUGUGUAUCCAGUGGAAACCCAAUCACAUCUAGGUGUCUAGGUCCUAAUAGGAAGCAAAUGACAUCUGAAACAAAGCAUCUUAUGUCCUUAUAUAAUGAAGGGCCAGUUACAAAUGUCUGGGCAGGGCUGAAGGAACUUGUAAAGGUUGGCAGAGCAUCACAGGCUUCACCUCUCCCAGACCUGAGGGCUGUCCUGAAAGGGACUAGGAAGUCAGUUGCCUGCUGAGGGCCACACCCUCCUGAAGGAAAAUGCAACCAUUCACUGCAGGGAGGGAACAGAAACAGGUACCUGUCCUCACUUUCCUCCAGUUCUGCCCCCAUGUGCACCAGGAGCCAGGGCAAAGUAGCCUGGAUGACGUAGUUCACCCAGGUAAAUGUCAGCAUUGCAGGAAAAGAAGUAUGGCAGCAGAGGGUGAAGAAAACAUCUGCAGGAUGUCUCACUCUGUUUAAUGCUGCUGUAACAGAAUACCAUUCAUUUUUAAAGAAUAGAAAGUUACUCAGAGUCUGGAGGCUGGGAAGUCCAAUAUUAAGGUGCUGGCAUCUGGUGAGGGCUUCUUACUGGAUCAAAACCUGGUGGAAAGCAGAAUGGUGAGAGAGGAAGAAGGAGAAAGGAUUGGUGGGGAGUGUGCACUAGAAGGUGGGAACCCACCCACAGGACAAUGAUAAUGACAAAGUCCAUUCAUGAGGGCAGAACUCUCCUGACCUGAACACUUCUUAAAGGUCCCAGCUCAUUAUAUAGUUACAAGGGUAAUUAAGUCAAAUUUCAACAUGAGUUUCAGGAACCCACAUUCAAACCGCAGAAAGGGGUAAGCAGAAGAUGUCUAACACACAUCACCCAGGGGAAGCAGCAGGCCUCAGAAAGAGCUAAUUCUGCAGCUCUGAGCACACACCAGCCACUCCCAGAAGUUUUCACGGAACACAGGAACUUUGCAAGAGCUGAUGUAGGAAAGACUUUUAAAAAUAAGGUCAUGAAUGUGACCUCAUUUAUACCUAUUAAUGCCUGGGGAAACUCAGUACACUUCCUUCCUAGAGCCCUGCUCCUGUGGGGUUGGCAGUGGAGGAAAAAUUGCUUGUUGGAAGGGGGGGGGGGCUCCCCAGAGGUCCCUUUGCCCUUGGGGUGCUCUUUACCAGCAGCACUCUGGCUACCAUGGCAACUGGUGGGGCUUGGCUUCCUCUUUGCCUCUCACACUUGCAUUACUGCAUGAAUCACAACACUAACUACACCCUGAGUGACAACAGACACAGUAAAAACAUAGUCUCCAAAAAGACUGCCCUCACAUGAGAUGUUACCUCAACUUUGGGAGUCUUCCAACCAUUGGUACUCAUCACCUAGCUACAAAUGUAAGGUUUCCUCCAUCCUCUUAUCCCAUUUAAUUUGUUAAAAUAACUCAUAGAAUUCAGGAGAGCACUAUACUGGUGAUUUCAAUUUUAUCAUAAAGAAUGUAGAGUUUCUGUGUCCUCUCCACAUAAAUCCAGGAAACAUCACCUCCCAGAACAUGAGUAUUAUCACCAGCUAAGAGGUUCACCCGAGCCUUGGUGUCCAAAAUUUUUAUCAGGGCUCCAUGACAUAGACGUGAGUGAGUGAAUGAUUGGCUGCUUUAUUGAAUUCCAUCUCCAGCCCCCCACCCUUGAGACUAAUAUCACAUAGUUCAAAAUCCCAGCCUUCUAAUGGUUCAUCUUUCUGGCAUGGCAGCUGCUGUCCUUGAGUCACCUCAUUAGUAUAAACUCAGAAAUGGUCUCAGGGACUCACCAUGAAUAACAAAGACACUCCCACCACUCAGUGAAUUCCAAGGGUGUAGAAGCUUUGUCCCAGGAAUCCUGGACAAAGACCAGACAAGUUCUUAGCCUGGCUGUUACAAGGCAGAAAUAUUUCAGCUGGACCCAACCAAAGGUUAGCCCUGCGAUGGCUGGGGGUUUCCUUGGUCCCCAGCUGCUGUCUUUGCAGUAGCUGUCUGGAGGGCUGUGCAGAGGUUUCAAAGGCUACUUCCAGGACCAACUCGAAGGAGUGGCAUGAUUAACAAGUCAUGCUGGCUCUGGCACAGGAGAAGCUAAGAAGGAACAUGUGUGUUCUGUACUCACUAACCCUGACCUAAGAGAUUUUAAAGAAGGCAAUAAAUUGUACUGCUGAGUUAUAAAAAUUACUAUGCUGUUUACAAAUGAGGGUG